UACAGAGGGGGCAAGCGUUGUUCGGAAUUACUGGGCGUAAAGGGCGCGUAGGCGGCCUGGCAAGUGGAAGGUGAAAUCCCUCGGCUUAACCGAGGAACUGCCCUCCAAACUGCUUGGCUUGAGACCGGGAGAGGUGAGUGGAAUUCCCAGUGUAGCGGUGAAAUGCGUAGAUAUUGGGAGGAACACCAGUGGCGAAGGCGGCUCACUGGACCGGUACUGACGCUGAUGCGCGAAAGCGUGGGGAGCAAACGGG
rnacentral:rRNA from 1 species